GUUUAAGUCGCUGUUUUUUUUGCCAAAAUUAAUGGCAUUCUCGAUGCGGUUUUUGAUGUGCCUUCACGGUCGCUCUAAACGCAUGUUUGAUGUGUCAUUACAGGCAUUCUAGACGCGUGUUUGAUGGUAAAUGACACCCAUACACUCUUUUCAAUGGCAUAAAAGCAAAACGCCCGUUCAAAAUAAGACGAUGUGAACCCUUUGGCGUUCCAUAGGGAACAGCGUAUUUUCCGUGUCAUUGGAUGACGUGGAACCCGUAAUGUGUCUCACUUGGCCUCCUAUAGUAAUGACCGACAAAACACGCAUUCAGAACGCCUGUAAUGACCGAGCAAACACUUGUUCAGAACGCCUGCAAUGACACAACUCCAGUUUAGAACAAAUAAUUGUGGCAAUGUAUGAAUAGAUAUGCGGCUGGAAUGUUACGCAUAAGUAAUUUUUCUAUGGAAUUGAAUAUUUGGUAGUUGCUCAUCCCAGUAGAUAUUCCUGUUAAGUUGCCAUUGAAUAAGGGAUAGCUAUUUAAAAAAAAGAAAAACAUCUUACCAUAUUUGCUUUUAAAUAUGAGAGGCUCAUAACUUUGCCCAGCCUUGCCUAAAUCUCCCCCCUCAAUCAUUACUAGUUCACCUAGGCUACUACUACACAGUGAGCAAUCGAUGGCGGCCCGCCAGCAUUUUUGCUGGCGGCCCACAGGAUUUCUCUCCAAUUCAUAUUCAGCACACCUGAUUAAUUAUAAGUUGGAUGAAAAGCAGACUCAGGUUAGUCACAAAUGAGGCUGAAGAGAAAACCUACAGGAUAGUAGAUCUGCAGGAACAGAGUUGGCCAGCACUAAUAUAAGCUAUAUCCUCUGAAUUGGACAAUACAACAUGAAAAUUAUGACAUUAUUUUACUACAAUUUGAUGAGCUCCUGAAACAAACAAAGAUCAAGAUAUUUUUGGAAAUCGGACUGAAAAUUAUUGAACGCCGAGUCACCUACAUAGCUGUGUUCGGAUGUUUUGUGCUUCUUCGCAUAUCAACAGUUGAAUAGGUGAUGUUUUUCUGUAGUUUUGUUCCCAGGGGAGGAUGACUGUAUGGCAGUAGUUCCACGCCUGUGGCUCAAAGGGGGACUUUUUUACUGGCCACCACACAGCAUCACCAGCAGGAAGUCCAUCAUCUACGACAAGUUAGCCAGAACUUGUUCACCACCUGGGAGAGUGUCCCUUAUAAGCUCAUCAAGCAUGCAGACACGUGAGAGACUGGACGUGUGUAUCGUCAGAGGAGCGAAAAUCGUUCCAGCGUGGGCCCCUACUACCCCAAGGACGCACAUCUCCACCACAGCACCCUGUGGAUUGCAGCCCUGGAGGAUGGAGCAAGCACAGUACUCCAAGGCACCAUGUAGAGGAUUGCUACAUAGGUAAGUGUGGGUUAAUUCACUUUACUUUACUUUCAGAACAUUUGGAGAAGUUCAAGCGGCUGAAGAGAAGGUUGAGCUGAGGGCACAGCUGGCUCUUCAAUCAGAAUGAACCACCUCAAAGAGACACGGCAGAAAUGGACGGUAGGGGAACUACUCGGUUGGCCUGACAGCGACACGGAGGAGGAGGAGAACCCCUACCGUCCCCUGCGGCACACCGGGCCAACACAGCGUCCACCCAGGAGGAGACAUCAACAGAGGUGACGAAAGCAAACCUCCAUGUGUCCGCCCCAAUAAUUUCUUGGGGGGGUGCUGUGGGGGCAAGCGGAGGACCCUGAGGCGUGGCCCCCAUCCCUGGAGGAGUGGAAGGACGCGACCUUGCCACCUAUGCUCACGUGCGGGGUGGUCCAGGUGCCCCAGUCCUGCCCGGUGCCAGCUCCUAGGUGCCUGGGAGCUGCAGCCAGCGCCACCAGCUCCUCCCGCCGCCCAGUGGCCGCAGCCGCCAGCUCCUCCCGCCGCCCAGUGGCCGCAGCCGCCAGCUCCUCCC
ensembl:lncRNA